GUGGGGAAUCUUCCGCAAUGGACGAAAGUCUGACGGAGCAACGCCGCGUGAGUGAUGAAGGUCUUCGGAUUGUAAAGCUCUGUUAAUCGGGACGAAAGAGCCUAGUGUGAAUAAUGCUAGGAAGUGACGGUACCGGAAUAGAAAGCCACGGCUAACUACGUGCCAGCAGCCGCGGUAAUACGUAGGUGGCAAGCGUUGUCCGGACUUAUUGGGCGUAACGCGCGCGCAGGCGGAUCUGCCAGUCUGUCUUAAAAGUUCGGGGCUUAACCCCGUGAUGGGAUGGAAACUACAGAUAUAGAGUAUCGGAGAGGAAAGUGGAAUUCCUAGUGUAGCGGUGAAAUGCGUAGAUAUUAGGAAGAACACCAGUGGCGAAGGCGACUUUCUGGACGAAAACUGACGCUGAGGCGCGAAAGCCAGGGGAGCGAACGGGAUUAGAAACCCCAGUAGUCC
rnacentral:rRNA from 1 species